rnacentral:rRNA from 1 species
GACGAACGCUGGCGGCGUGCUUAACACAUGCAAGUCGAACGGAAAGGCCCUGCUUUUGUGGGGUGCUCGAGUGGCGAACGGGUGAGUAACACGUGAGUAACCUGCCCUUGACUUUGGGAUAACUUCAGGAAACUGGGGCUAAUACCGGAUAGGAGCUCCUGCUGCAUGGUGGGGGUUGGAAAGUUUCGGCCGUAGGGGAUGGACUCGCGGCUUAUCAGCUUGUUGGUGGGGUAGUGGCUUACCAAGGCUUUGACGGGUAGCCGGCCUGAGAGGGUAACCGGCCACAUGGGGACUGAGAUACGGACCAGACUCCUACGGGAGGCAGCAGUGGGGAAUAUUGCACAAUGGGCGGAAGCCUGAUGCAGCAACGCCGCGUGCGGGAUGACGGCCUUCGGGUUGUAAACCGCUUUCGCCUGUGACGAAGCGUGAGUGACGGUAAUGGGUAAAGAAGCACCGGCUAACUACGUG